rnacentral:rRNA from 1 species
UACAGAGGUCCCGAGCGUUGUUCGGAUUCACUGGGCGUAAAGGGUGCGUAGGUGGUCGGGUAAGUCUGAUGUGAAAUCUCUGGGCUCAACCCAGAAAUUGCAUUGGAUACUAUCCGGCUAGAGGAGUGGAGGGGGGACUGGAAUGCUUGGUGUAGCAGUGAAAUGCGUAGAUAUCAAGCGGAACACCAGUGGCGAAGGCGAGUCCCUGGACACUUCCUGACACUGAGGCACGAAAGCUAGGGGAGCAAACAGG